rnacentral:rRNA from 1 species
CAGUCGAGGGGUAUAGGUUUUCGGACCUAGAGACCGGCGCACGGGUGCGUAACGCGUAUGCAAUCUACCUUUUACAGAGGGAUAGCCCAGAGAAAUUUGGAUUAAUACCUCAUAGUAUAGCAACUUCGCAUGAAGUCACUAUUAAAGUCACAACGGUAAAAGAUGAGCAUGCGUCCCAUUAGCUAGAUGGUAAGGUAACGGCUUACCAUGGCAACGAUGGGUAGGGGUCCUGAGAGGGAGAUCCCCCACACUGGUACUGAGACACGGACCAGACUCCUACGGGAGGCAGCAGUGAGGAAUAUUGGUCAAUGGGCGCAAGCCUGAACCAGCCAUGCCGCGUGCAGGAUGAAGCAUCUAUGGUGUGUAAACUGCUUUUGUACGAGAAGAAACACUACUUCGUGAAGUAGCUUGACGGUAUCGUAAGAAUAAGGACCGGCUAACUCCGUGCCAGCAGCCGCGGUAAUACGGAGGGUCCAAGCGUUAUCCGGAAUCAUUGGGUUUAAAGGGUCCGUAGGCGGUUUUGUAAGUCAGUGGUGAAAGCCCAUCGCUCAACGGUGGAACGGCCAUUGAUACUGCAAGACUUGAAUUAUUAGGAAGUAACUAGAAUAUGUAGUGUAGCGGUGAAAUGCUUAGAUAUUACAUGGAAUACCAAUUGCGAAGGCAGGUUACUACUAAUGGAUUGACGCUGAUGGACGAAAGCGUGGGGAGCGAACAGGAUUAGAUACCCUGGUAGUCCACGCCGUAAACGAUGGAUACUAGCUGUUCNGAGCAAUCUGAGUGGCUAAGCGAAAGUGAUAAGUAUCCCACCCUGGGAGUACGUUCGCAAGAAUGAAACUCAAAGGAAAUGACGGGGGCCCGCACAAGCGGUGGAGCAUGUGGUUUAA